UGGGGAAUAUUGGACAAUGGGCGCAAGCCUGAUCCAGCCAUGCCGCGUGAGUGAUGAAGGCCCUAGGGUUGUAAAGCUCUUUCACCGGUGAAGAUAAUGACGGUAACCGGAGAAGAAGCCCCGGCUAACUUCGUGCCAGCAGCCGCGGUAAUACGAAGGGGGCUAGCGUUGUUCGGAAUUACUGGGCGUAAAGCGCGCGUAGGUGGUUUGGUAAGAUGGAUGUGAAAUCCCCGGGCUCAACCUGGGAACUGCAUCCAUAACUGCCUGACUAGAGUACGGUAGAGGGUGGUGGAAUUUCCUGUGUAGCGGUGAAAUGCGUAGAUAUAGGAAGGAACACCAGUGGCGAAGGCGACCACCUGGACUGAUACUGACACUGAGGUGCGAAAGCGUGGGGAGCAAACA
rnacentral:rRNA from 1 species